AAAAAAAAGGAAGAUUCUUUUGUUCCUCAGCAGGUGUGUGCAGUGCACCAGAGACUGGCUCUGGUGAUCUGGUCAUUAUACUCUGUCAUCUCCAUCUUGAGGAUGUAGGGAAUUAUGCUAUCAAAAUAUUGACAAUGAGGCCAAUAAAAAUAAAUAAACAAAUAAAUAAAAUGAAAUAAAUUAAGUUCUGUUACUGUUGGAGCUCAUCAGCAUGUGGCCAGUGGAUAUAUGAGAAUCUGAGCCACUCAGAAGGUGUCUUCUGAGUAGGGUUUCUGAACAUAGUCUUGUAAGUCUAUCUCUAUUUUUUCUUGGACUUUUUCAGUCUGGUUUGUGCUGGUCAAACCUGGAUGGUCAGGACUAAAGAGAACUGUAGCUUUAAGGUAUGCAUACUCACAGCUGUCUAUGUUCAGCUUCACCCUACUGUUAAUAGAAGUCCUGCUGAUGCUUCCAGAUGUGCUCCUUGACUUGCUUUAUCCAGUAACCAGAAAGUUUAUCUUCAUUGAUGCAGUUCUACAGGUUAUUGGAGAGACUUAAACCUGGGCACACUGGGUCAGGCCAAGGGUGAAGAGCUCAUUCCAACAGGACAGCUUGAGGCUGGCGUUGCAUCCCUGACCAAGUGUCUGAACUGCUGGGAUUGACCUGAGGUGAUGCAUGGGGAGGAAAAGCAAGUGUGAUGUAGACUUGCAGAUGUAGCCCAUGUUGAGGUACUCGUAUCAUUAUAAGCUUACAUGUGUUCUAAGUGUCUAAAAGGAGGAAGCCUUUGACCUCAAUGGUGGGUGGAGACUGGUCUCCAGUGAUAACAUGGAUGCUCCAUGGAUCCUCUACUGGUGUCUGUCCUCCCUGCUAGGCUUGGAGACAUGAAGCUGUCUGUGGUAUUAGUGCUUUUGCUAACUUACAGAGGAAAUAUUGGCAGCAGUAACAAUGUUGAACAAUUGGACACUGGAUAUACAAAAGAUAAUAUGUUCAUAUUUUGGAAUACUAUGCAUCUAUAUCAAAUGGUAUUAUACAUAAUAACCUUCAUUAAGAAAAAACAAAGCUAAAAAAAAUAAAAAACAAAGCUUGAAAAUAGCUGUAUUAUAU
rnacentral:lncRNA from 1 species